rnacentral:rRNA from 1 species
GAUGAACGCUAGCGGGAGGCUUAACACAUGCAAGUCGAGGGGCAGCACGAGGUAGCAAUACUUUGGUGGCGACCGGCAGACGGGUGAGUAACGCGUAUGUAACCUACCCUGUACAGGGGGAUAACCCGGAGAAAUUCGGACUAAUACCCCAUAAAGAUAUUUUGAGGCAUCUCUGAAUAUUUAAAGUUCCGACGGUACGGGCUGGGCAUGCGUAAGAUUAGCUAGUUGGUAGGGUAACGGCCUACCAAGGCUACGAUCUUUAGGGGUCCUGAGAGGGUGACUCCCCCACACUGGUACUGAGACACGGACCAGACUCCUACGGGAGGCAG